CAGUAGACCACUAGCAAGGAGAUCCCAGUCCUGCCUUAAACGGCCUCCAGCCAGGAUUUAAUGAGGCAUGAAUUUGCAUGGCAUAGUAGAUUUUUUCUACCAUAAACUCCUCAACUAAGAAGACUGUGUCUGCCACCACCUUCUAGCACCCCACAGGAGCCAAAGUCCUGUGGUGCAUACAAUUGGUACCCAACACAUUUUGGAGAAAAGAACUAAGAAGCAAAGCAUCUUUAUUGUUUCGUAUCAGAACAAGAUCGGGGAUUGGUGUUACAUAUUAGGAACUGACCCUGAACAUGAUGUUCAAAGUCAUUAAACGCUCUUGGAAACAGAAGCAAUGACUUUAUCUUCGGGGCUGAACAUCCUCAGUUGGAAUCCCUUGAAACUCUGGGCCAGUGAUGUUGGCUUAAUGCCAGAAAGACCAGGCACUAACAUAUUUUGAAUAUGAUGUCACAGACAAAGUACAGGAAAUGAUUAUCACUGGGCAGAUAAAAGGAAAAUAUCUUAAAAGAGAAUAUAAACUUCUUAACCUACUCUAGAGGCAUCACGGUGAAAAUUUCUGUGCACCAGAGAAAAAAAACUCGGUAAUGUGUGUAAGGAGUGCUUUGCAUAUGUGUGAGGUUAGAGAAAAAGCCACACCUGGAUUGCAAAUGUAUUGGCUCCAUCUAUGAGUGUUCUUCUACCAAUCCUGAAACAAGAAAAUUAUUAUUUUUGUGUUUCCAGCGUGAUAGUGUCAGUUAACAUGUAUUCAGAUGUUGCUAUAUGCCAAUGCCACAUGCAUCAGCCCAUUUAAUCCUCUCUGUUACCUUAUGAAGCAGAGGAAGCUCAAAGAGCUUAAGCAAAGAGUUGGUUAAAUCCCUC